AGGGUAACACACAAGCGUUACACGCCGUGAAACUCCCGCCAAUACGGUAUUCCAGAAAACGUGAUAGUCCUGGCGCGUAAAAGCACUCGAAAAUGGAUUUUUCUGAGUUUUCUUCUGAAAUCUGAAGUUCCAAAUUCAAGGUGGUAUUUUCGUUUGGACACCAAGGGGUAAAAACCUGACUUGUGCCACCAGAAAAAAGAAAGCGCAAUGUUUGCCCACAAUCAGGGCCUUUUCCAUAUUAACGGCAAUCGAGAAGAUGCGAAUGCUGCUGUUUGCUUUUGUGACUAAGCAGCAGCUCAUUCCCUAAUGGAAUUAGUAAAGCUGUAGUAAUAUCUUAAUCACUGAUAAUAAAUAUUUAAAUCACCCUAGAAUAUUGAGUUGUAUUGGAAAGGAAGGAACGCAACUGCAUCUUCAGCCAGGCCUGGAGCCCUUUCCCAGGUGGUUUCUGAUUUACAAGAGCAUUAAAAUGAGGAAAAACCAAAACAAAAAAGCAUUUGCUGAAGCUUUAGCACAUGGCAGAGAUGAAGAGCCAGAAAGGGGGCAGGGUGGAAGAGAGAGGGGAGGACCACGGAGGUGACCCCAGCUGGGACCCCACUUCUGCGGGCGCCGGUGCCCAGCUCUGGGCAGGACCUGAGGCCUGUGAAUGCCAAACGGCCUGGGCAGGAUUUCUGCAGCUCCGCUAAGCUUACGCGGGAGCUCAGCUGCCUCUACGCACUUAAAUUCUGGCGUUGUAGACUAGAUCUAAGGCAGGCUUGGGGAAAAACCUUGAAGCCAUUGCUUAUCUAGCAGCAAAAUAAAUUGAGCAGGAGGUUGGUUGCUUUUCCUGCGGUGCUGGUACCUUCCUUUCCACCACGCUGCGUUCAGUACCACAACAGCAGAUCUGAUCUGCGCCCUCCAGUGUCGUCCGCUUUCCUCGCCUCUAGUCAUCGCGCUGGAAAACACUUUCAUUGCAUUUGACUAUUUCCAUGACUCUUCGCAGCAGGAAGAAUCACAUUAAAUGCAAGGAAAGCAAGGAGACAGGUGAAGCGCCUGGACUGGCAGAGGUCUUCACCUGAUAAUCUGAUGGAAGUUUAACACUACUACGGCCACGUUCAGCCCCAGUGGACGAGACUCGCAGAGAACAGGUAAAACCAGGAGAUCGGACCCCAGAUGCCAGCCUGUUCCUGUAACUAAUUUACGGCAGAAAGCGCGGUGCCUUCAGCCUCCCAGCUAAUAGGACAUCAGGCACGCAGCGGAGACGCGCAGCAGCACAUGUUUCAUUACAUCUCGUCACUCGGCUCCGCUGUGCUGGAAAUGCGAGCACGCGGGACUGGCAGC